AGGACACUUAUCUAUUCAUAUAUAUAUUUAUUACAAACCCUCCUGAUAACACAUAACUGUCUUCUUAAUGCUUUUCUGGUGCUUCUGCUACCCAUCCCUCAUGUGAAGUUUCAAGAGACCUUUGAGGAAAAUGGAAAUCAGACCUAGAAAGUUAACAAAUUACAUCCUACCUCCUUUUAAUAUUAUCCAGCCCAGUCCAGCUCCCUACCUUCUGGAGAGGGAUAAACAUAGGCUGAAAUAAAAGUGGAGUUAGCUAUAACAACCCCCUGAAUUGAGGACAGAAAAAAAAAAAAAAAAAAAAAAAGAUCUAUGAGUUGCAUUAACCCUUUGAAGUUUCAGAAAAUCAAAUGAAAUUCAGAAUAUGGUCUUGAUAAUAGAAGUGGCUUAAACAGAGUAUUUUUAUGACUACAAAUUCAACCACUUCAUUGUUUCAUUUAUUCAUUCACUCAUUCAACAUUUAUUAAGAUCCAACUGUGUUUUACGUACUCUUUUGCCACUCAAGAUGGUGUGGGAACAUGACAAGGCCUCAGUCAAUCAGAUGCUUUUGUCUGAAGCAAAUGAAGCUAGUGGCUUCCUGGUGGGAUGGUUCCUACAAAAAGACAGUUAUUUUAUUUGUUGUUUAUGAUUGUCUGAUACUAUCCUAAUUCUACUCAAUUCCCAAAUCUUGGUUUCCAGCUUAUCACAGACUCCAUGAACUCAACUUCUUAGGAAAACCUUUCCUGCUUAAGAGAACCUCUGCUGUUUGCAAACAAGAGGUCUGGUUGUUCCUAUUAAUUGGAAUAAUAUGUCUCAUAAUUGGAAAUUUUCAAAGGGUCACAUCAGACUUUCAAAGAAUAAGUGUAUUUACAUUUCAAAUGGCUACAUAUCAGGAAUUACUAUCCAAGACUCAUAUGUAUUAUAGAAUGAAGGACAAUUUUCCUCAUGAAACCCUAUACUGGUUCAAGAAUAGAUGGAAGACCAGCUCUGCUUAAUAUCCAGUUAUUUCUUCGGUUAGCUGUAUUUCAUUGAAUCUUAAGAUAACAGAUUAUUUCUUGCUGUCCAUCUUGCCACAGUUGAAGAAGGAAAAUUUGGGCUAUGGGAUGGGAACAAGUAGAGCUAAUUGCUAGGUCAAGCAAAGUAAAUUAGAUGCAAUAUAUAAGCGCUAUUUUAGAAACUCCCUGGUACUUUGGGCUUACAGAGCUAAGUGCCAAAGAGAAUAAAACAUUGAAUUGACCCAGUCAUUUCCAAUUUGAUGACCAAGAAAUGAAAACACUUGGGGGAGUCUAGUCACAAGCUUAGAAUAUUUCUAGUUCCUUUCUUUGUCAGAUCUUCAGGGUAGACUUUGGGCUUUAAAAGCCAGAAGUGAUAGCAAGUCAUUCUAAAGUGUGCAGAAAUGGAAGCAUGAUGAGGCAUGAACACCCAGUUUUUUUGUUAGCCUUCUGGGUGGAAAAGAUAAAGAAAACCAGUAAAAAGAUGACAGUAUCUUUUUUCCGGCAGCCAUAGGCACCUUAGUUUUUUACUCUUAAGAGAAAUGCCACCAUUAGGCACUUAUUUAAGAAGGGAAAGGAGUUUUCUUUGUAACUUUUGCUGGAAGUUACCAGUAAAAUUCUACUUUGCAACCUGACCUGCAUGUUGGAAAUAAGCCUGGCUGUUGUACACACUUAGACCCAUAAAGGCCAUAUAUUUACAUAUCAUUUUAGUCUUUUAUUUCCACAGUCAAAUCUGAAAAAUGACAUAACUCUCCAGGGAUUCAGUAAAGUUAAUAUUAUCUCCAUUUGGUAAAAUUGCACCAUAUCCUUACUGGGCUGUCAGUAUUUGUUUUCAAAAGUAUUAAAUUGCCAAUUUGUCUUCUUAAGGAAGAAAUGGUUUUAAAAAUUAUUAAUUGAAAUUUUAGAAUGGAUUUAUGUAUAUUGCAUUGAAUUAUAUAAUAUAAUUAGUAUACAUCAAUUUAAUUAUCAGUUGACUCUGAGUACUUCAAAUUGUAAUAGGUCUAGAUUUACCAAGAGAAGACUUUAUUGAGUGCUAGAUUUUAAAGAAAACUUAGAGAAGAGAUGCUUUGAGCUUUUGGAAUAAUAAUAACAAUAACAUCUAGUUUUUAUUGACUGUUUAAUAUGGGUCAUAUCAUUCAAUCCCUAAAACAAUCUGGGAGACUGGUACUGGGAUUCCUGUUUUAUAUCUGAGAUAACCAAGUCUCAGAAAACAAAGUAAAUUGUCUAAAUUGUCCUAAGUUAUGCCUAAGUAGAUAAGUGGAAAAUUUGAACCUGAGUAGCUUGACUCCAUCGUCUGUACUUUUGAUCGUUAUUGUCUUUGCCAGAUGAAGUGCAUAUCAGUAAAGUCACAUUAUAUUUACUAGACAAAAGGGAUGUAUUUUAAUGAGUCAUUUUGUAUUUUAGAUAGCAUGACCUGAAAGGUUUGCAAAUGAUUUAUGCACCACUAUGUGCUACUGUAGUGAAAAUAAUCUCACACUCCUACCUCAGAAAGCUUGGAUUUCAUUUUAUAACCCACCACUUAGGUGGGUAGCAAAGGCAAAUCAGACAAGUUCACCAGCUGUUGUUGAGUAACAUUGAUGUAGUUCAUCCUCCUCCUCCUCUUCCUCCUCCUCCUUAGUUAUUAUAAUAUAUGAAAAAAUAUUUUUAAACUAAAAUAUUAUGACUUUAAAAUUAAUAUUUAAUUUUUAUUAAUAAACACAGACCACAAGAAGGAUAAUGUGAAAAGGAAUAUGGCCUAAUAAAGAAUCAUAUUCUUAAGACUAUUUGUUUUCGAAGAGUCCAACUUCCCUCUUGACAAUGUUAUUUUCUUACAAGGGUUAUUCACAGUAUGAUUUUUUAAUUUUUUUAUUUUUGGCUGAGCCUGCAGCAUGCAGAAGUUCCCAGGCCAGGGAUCAAACCUAUACUACAGCUAUAACCAGAGCCACAACCAGAGCUGAAUCAUUAACCCCCUGAGCUGCUGGAGAACUUCUGGUCAGUGAUAUCUUUUGCGAAUGGUUACCCAGUUGCAUUAUUUAGGUAACAUACACCUUCAAGAUAAUUAACUGCCAGUUUCACUUUAACAUUAGGUAUUUUAUAAAGGAAUGGGGGAAUUAGAAGUGAAGGCAGAAGAAAAC
rnacentral:lncRNA from 1 species